GAGGAUUCCAAAUUGUAUCCGGGGCAGCAGCAUAACUAGGAACAUGAGGCAGCCUAGAAUGACAGUCUCCUCUUGCAUAUCUGCACAUGCUCUCCCAGCCCCCAGUGGAAGGAUGCAACUGUUACCACGUCAAUUCCAUGAAGAUGACAGAGAAUAAGCAACCACAGAGUCCUGUCAUCUAUUAUCAAGAGGCAC